rnacentral:tRNA from 2 species
GCCGGGAUGGCGGAACUGGUAGACGCGCCGGAUUCAAAAUCCGGUUCUGGAAACAGAGUGGGGGUUCGAUUCCCCCUCCCGGCACCA